rnacentral:rRNA from 1 species
UAGUCCACACCGUAAACGAUGAGAGCUAGUUGUCUGCAAGCAUGCUUGUAGGUGACGCAGCUAACGCAUUAAGCUCUCCGCCUGGGGAGUACGGUCGCAAGAUUAAAACUCAAAGAAAUUGACGGGGGCCCGCACAAGCGGUGGAACAUGUGGUUUAAUUCGAUGCAACGCGAAGAACCUUAUCCAGGCCUUGACAUGCUUGUCGCGACCUCCAGAGACGGAGGUCUUCAGUUCGGCUGGACAAUGCACAGGUGCUGCAUGGCUGUCGUCAGCUCGUGUCGUGAGAUGUUGGGUUAAGUCCCGCAACGAGCGCAACCCUCAUCCUUUGUUGCCAGCACGUUAUGGUGGGAACUCUAAGGAGACUGCCGGGAGUUAAUCCGGGAGGAAGGUGGGGGAUGGACGUCAAGUCCUCAUGGGCCUUUAUGGGCCUGGGGCUACACACGUGUUACAAUGGCAGUGACAGCGCGCAGCUACUCCGCGAGGGAGGGU